CUCCAAAGUUUGCAUGUAAACCGCGUAUGCUUUGUAUUUCUUCUUCUAUUAACCGUAUAAGGUCUAUUUUGUAUUGGAGAUCGUGUGCUAGCCUUGCGUAGGGUGGAGUUUUUUCUUGCAAGUCUUUACGACCGUUUUUAACUCAUUCAGAAGAGAGGAAUAUUGGUCAUCAGUUGUUUUUGUAAGGACCUCAGGAAAAAGUUCCCCAGUAUGGCACUCAGGCUUGGCUACAUUCUGAGCACCCCUUUGAAUGGAGCGCUUAGAGUCUAACAGAAAUAUUACAGCAGAUCACACCACCAUAGUGCUGCAACAGCUGACAUUUGGCUGAUCUCUGGUAAGAC